UGACUGUGCACAGACUGACAUUGUGGGUAGUCGGCCUUGGUGAAGAACUGGGCGCAGCCCACAAUGUUGGUGGCCGUGAGCGUUGUGGCUGUGUCGUCCCACAUAGCCAGUACGCACAAGUCGUAGCCCGUUCCGGACACCAGGU
ensembl:miRNA predicted gene, 44304